GCGGGAUUCGUAUAGUGGUAGUACUUUAGCCUUCCAAGCUGAAGGGAGGGGUUCGAUUCCCCUAUCCCGCUCCA
rnacentral:tRNA from 1 species